rnacentral:rRNA from 1 species
AUGUGCCGAAGCUGCGGAUUUGACAUUAGUCAAGUGGUAGGGGAGCGUUCUGUAAGCCGAUGAAGGUGUAUUGAGAAGUAUGCUGGAGGUAUCAGAAGUGCGAAUGCUGACGUGAGUAACGACAAAACGGGUGAAAAACCCGUUCGCCGAAAGACCAAGGGUUCCAGUCCAACGUUAAUCGGGGCUGGGUGAGUCGACCCCUAAGGCGAGGCCGAAAGGCGUAGUCGAUGGGAAAAUGGUUAAUAUUCCAUUACUUCUGUGUAAUGCGAUGAGAGGACGGAGAAGGCUAAAUCAGCCUGGCGUUGGUUGUCCAGGUGAAAGGAUGUAGGCAUGUAUCUUAGGCAAAUCCGGGGUACUCUAUGCUGAGAUCUGAUAGCAAGCUGUACUUGUACAGCGAAGUGGUUGAUGCCAUGCUUCCAGGAAAAGUCUCUAAGCUUCAGUUACACAGGAAUCGUACCCGAAACCGACACAGGUGGUCAGGUCGAGUAGACCAAGGCGCUUGAGAGAACUCUGCUGAAGGAACUAGGCAAAAUGGUACCGUAACUUCGGGAGAAGGUACGCUGUUGUUGGUGAUGGAACUCGCUUCCUGAGCUGACGACAGCCGCAGAAACCAGGCCGCUGCAACUGUUUAUUAAAAACAUAGCACUCUGCAAACACGAAAGUGGACGUAUAGGGUGUGAUGCCUGCCCGGUGCUGGAAGGUUAAUUGAUGGGGUUAGCGUAAGCGAAGCUCUUGAUCGAAGCCCCAGUAAACGGCGGCCGUAACUAUAACGGUCCUAAGGUAGCGAAAUUCCUUGUCGGGUAAGUUCCGACCUGCACGAAUGGCAUAAUGAUGGCGGCGCUGUCUCCAGCAGAGGCUCAGUGAAAUCGAAAUCGCUGUGAAGAUGCAGUGUACCCGCGGCUAGACGGAAAGACCCCGUGAACCUUUACUGCAGCUUGACACUGAACUUUGACCUUACUUGUGUAGGAUAGGUGGGAGGCUUUGAAGCUGGAACGCUAGUUCCAGUGGAGCCGUCCUUGAAAUACCACCCUGGUAAUGUUGAGGUUCUAACUCUGUCCCGUGAUCCGGGACGAGGACCGUGUCUGGUGGGUAGUUUGACUGGGGCGGUCUCCUCCUAAAGAGUAACGGAGGAGUACGAAGGUGCGCUCAGCGUGGUCGGAAAUCACGCGUAGAGUAUAAAGGCAAAAGCGCGCUUAACUGCGAGACCCACAAGUCGAGCAGGUACGAAAGUAGGUCUUAGUGAUCCGGUGGUUCUGUAUGGAAGGGCCAUCGCUCAACGGAUAAAAGGUACUCUGGGGAUAACAGGCUGAUACCGCCCAAGAGUUCAUAUCGACGGCGGUGUUUGGCACCUCGAUGUCGGCUCAUCUCAUCCUGGGGCUGAAGCAGGUCCCAAGGGUAUGGCUGUUCGCCAUUUAAAGAGGUACGCGAGCUGGGUUUAGAACGUCGUGAGACAGUUCGGUCCCUAUCUACCGUGGGCGCUGGAAAUUUGAGAGGAUCUGCUCCUAGUACGAGAGGACCAGAGUGGACGAACCUCUGGUGUACCGGUUGUGACGCCAGUCGCAUCGCCGGGUAGCUAUGUUCGGAAGGGAUAACCGCUGAAAGCAUCUAAGCGGGAAGCCUACCUCAAGAUAAGAUUUCCCUAGGACUUUAUGUCCUCUAAAGAGCCGUUCGAGACUAGGACGUUGAUAGGUUGGAUGUGGAAGCAUAGUGAUAUGUGAAGCUGACCAAUACUAAUUGCUCGUGAGGCUUGACUAUACAACACCCAAGCAGUUG